rnacentral:sRNA from 1 species
ACAAAUUCAUAGUCAGCCCCGUUCCCCCUAACCUUUCACAACUUUCCCCUGCCUUUGUCAGUACCCUCGUCAUUGCCCCACUUUUUCCUUUUUCAUAGAGAAUAGAAAAGGUGUGUACAUCUUAAUUUCCUUUAAUGUUUAUACAAUUUUGUUUGAAAAUUGGGAAGAAAAAAAACUAAAAUUGGGAAGUAAUCGUGAAAAAUAAUUCAUGUAAAAAGUACUCAAAUUUUGAAGUGAUCCCUGUAUUCUCAUUUGUUGGUUCAUGCAUAUCUGUUUAUGAAGUCCAUGACGUGUAGAUGUUGUCUUUUGCUGAACUUGUGACCAGGGAGGUAAGAAAUAAUACUCUAGUGCACGGAAUCCCCAGACGUUUAUUUUCUAUGCACCCUACCAAUGUGCCUAGUUCUGCUGUUGUCAUAGCAACCACUCAGUAUUGCUGUAGGAAAAAUGACAUUUUUCAGUUUUAUUACUAGAGGUGGAAGUCUUGGUGUGAUCUUUAAGUUCCUUUGAUACACAUACUGUUUAGUUUCUGGAAGGAUGGGAUCAGUUUUCGUUUCCUUUAUUUUUGGUGAUCUCUGAAUGUGGCUUUAAGUAUGUGUGUUGUUUUGCAAUGAGCAGCUACCCUUUCUUAUGAAGGCCUCUCCACACUUGCACUUGGUGUAGAACACCUUUAUGAUUAAGUCCACUGCUGCUUUAUGAACCAGAUCAAAGUCGGCCAAGAACCUGACUGACGGACGUCCGACUCUCGCCGCUCCUUUGUGUUUUGUAGUCACCAGCUCGUCUCUUUCUGUACAGUAAGUGAUGGAACUGGCCUCAAAUAACAGUAAUAUAAUGACAGAAAUCAAACUCCUACUGAACAGAUGCCUUCUGACAGAAAUCAAAGUAUGUACUUCCACUCAGGACACUGUAUAUUUAUUUGCUUACGUAGUCAUUUAUUGUGCUGUUCAGUUUCUUAAGCAAACAAGAAAAACAAAGGUUAGGAAUCACAGAAAAGAAACAUUUCCAUGGAUUUCUCCCGUUAAUAAAUGCAAGUACUUGACAAAUAGCAGGUUGUCUAUGAAAGAAGACGUCAUUUCCCCUCUAUCACAUCUGGAGUUGUAUCGUCCUCAGUUCUCGGUGUCAUAACUUGGCUUCAAUUCUACUGUACUGUGAUAGCAAAUGCAGUUGUGAAAUUGUUUAUGUAUUAUGUGUAUUUUCAUUGUCACCAACAAUUCAGUCUGUUUUAGUCAAUUUUUUAAAAAAUUUUGUUGAUAAUAAAAAGUCUACUGC